UACAGAGGGUGCAAGCGUUGUUCGGAAUUAUUGGGCGUAAAGCGCGUGUAGGCGGCUUUGCAAGUCGGGUGUGAAAGCCCUCAGCUUAACCGAGGAAGUGCGCCCGAAACUGCAGAGCUUGAGUACUGGAGAGGAUGGCGGAAUUCCCCAAGUAGAGGUGAAAUUCGUAGAUAUGGGGAGGAACACCGGUGGCGAAGGCGGCCAUCUGGACAGAUACUGACGCUGAGACGCGAAAGCGUGGGUAGCAAACAGG
rnacentral:rRNA from 1 species